rnacentral:RNase_P_RNA from 1 species
CCGGAUAGACAAAGGUUUGCUUUAAAGUUAAAGAGGAAAGUCUGGACUCCCUAUAGCAACGCAAAGGUUAAAAGCCUUCCAUCGCAAGAUGAGGACAAGUGGAACAGAAAGAAUGUCCAGCAAGUAGAAAAACUUGGUUGGAGUGAAAUCAGCUAAACUCUGCGUGGAGCGAGAUCAAGUAGAAAGGCAAUACUUUAGCUAGAAGUGCUUUUGGGUGGAUUGCAAGAGAAUUUUGGUAACAAAAUUCCUAGAUGAAUAAACCUUUCCCUUUUUUUUAGCAGAAAAAAAGGAAGACAGAAUCCAGCUUAUCGUUUAUCCCUAGAU